UAUUAUUAUCUGAAGAUUCGUAAGGAUGCAACUCCGUUUUUCGAAACAUUUCAUAAAUUAUAUUCUACCAGCAACAAUUGGGAAAGUUACACGCGGAAAGAAAGAAAACGGAAUCUAGUGCAAAUUCACUAUUUCUCUCAACACGAAAAAAUAUGCGUCGCGCCAAAAAUAAAGUUAACAAAAGUGCAUUACUUAGUUACCACCUGACAUUAAGAAACCGCACAUAUUACAUAGCAAAGAAGUCUGGGGUCAAAACAGUUGUAGCAGAUUUGGACGAAUAAAUCUUGUUUGGUUUUUAAAGGUGUUGAGACUGCAUAGCAAGACUUCUUGUUGCAGCCCAAAAACAUUUUCAUGAGGACGUACAUCCACACGUUCAGAAAAACGGCGGCAGCGAUAUAAAAAGCGGGACUUCAGUUGAUGUAUGUAUGUAUUGUUCUCGGAAAAGUGGUUUUCUGAACAAAAGUAAAAUGGCCCCAGAGAAUAAGAAAAUUUUUUGAAGUUAAGUUGCAGGCAAUAUGAAAAUCAGAACAAUUACAAAUGUAUCAACUGCUAAAAGUCAACAUUACAACAGCCAUAAUAACAUCGACAGCAACAACAAGAAAGACAGGCCAAUACGAAAAAGCAACAGCGCCAAAAUGCCAACGAUCAAAUUAGGGCAGCACAAAAAGCGGUCGCUCAUGCAUGCGCGAUUUGUAGGUGUAGAAAUAAACGGCUGGAAUUUAGAACAAUGCCUAUUUUGGAAUUUCUGGC